UGGUUUGGGCAUCGAUGAAGAACGCAGCGAAAUGCGAUAAGUAAUGUGAAUUGCAGAAUUCAGUGAAUCAUCGAAUCUUUGAACGCACGUUGCGCCCCUUGGUAUUCCGAAGGGCAUGCCUGUUCGAGCGUCAUUAUAACCACUCAAGCCUGGCUUGGUAUUGGAGUUCGCUAUCGGCGGCCCCUAAAAUUAGUGGCGGUGCCUGUAGGCUUUACGCGUAGUAAUACUUCUCGCUAUAGGGUCCUGCGGGUGACUUGCCAAUAACCCUAAAUUUUUUAAGGUUGACCUCGGAUCAGGUAGGGAUACCCGCCGA
rnacentral:misc_RNA from 1 species